GACGGAGGAUGCAAGUGUUAUCCGGAAUCACUGGGCGUAAAGCGUCUGUAGGUGGUUUAAAAAGUCUACUGUUAAAAAAUUGAAGCCUUAACUUCAAAGAUGCCGUAGAAACUUUUAAACUUGAGGAUGGUAGGGGUAGAGGGAAAUUUCCAGUGGAGCGGUGAAAUGCGUAGAUCUUGGAAAGACCACCAAUGGCGAAGGCACUCUACUGGGCCAUGACUGACACUAAGAGACGAAAGCUAGGGGGGGAGCAAAUGGG
rnacentral:rRNA from 1 species